UACGUAGGGGGCGAGUGUUGUCCGGAGUUACUGGGCGUAAAGCGCACGCAGGCGGUCUGCUAAGUUUGGAGUGACAGUUGGGUGGCUUAACUGCCAAAGUGCUUCGAAAACUGACAGACUUGAGGGCUUCAGAGGGACACGGAAUCCGGGUGGAGUGGUGAAAUGCGUAGAGAUCCGGAGGAACACCAAAGGCGAAGGCAGUGUCCUGGGGAGUACCUGACGCUCAGGUGCGAAAGCCAGGGGAGCGAACGGG
rnacentral:rRNA from 1 species